rnacentral:rRNA from 1 species
UACGGGGGGGGCAAGCGUUGUUCGGAAUUACUGGGCGUAAAGGGCUCGUAGGCGGCCAACUAAGUCAAACGUGAAAUCCCUCGGCUUAACCGGGGAACUGCGUUUGAUACUGGAUGGCUUGAGUUUGGGAGAGGGAUGCGGAAUUCCAGGUGUAGCGGUGAAAUGCGUAGAUAUCUGGAGGAACACCGGUGGCGAAAGCGGCUCACUGGACCACAACUGACGCUGAGGCGCGAAAGCUAGGGGAGCAAACAGG